rnacentral:rRNA from 1 species
GGGAAGUCGGUGCCAGAGUCGGCGGUAAUACUUAUGUUCAAAUCGUUAGUCGGGUGUAGUGGGCGUAAAGCGUGCUCAGACGGGUGUUUAAGUCUGAAGUGAAAGCACUAAGCUCAACUGAGGAAUGGCUUGGGAGACGGGAUUACGUGAGUGCAUUAGAGGAAAGGGGAACUCCAUGUGUAGCGGUGAAAUGCGUAGAUAUAUGGAAGAACACCAGUGGCGAAGGCGGCUUUCUGGACUGUAACUGACGUUGAGGCUCGAAAGUGUGGGUAGCAAACAGGAUUAGAUACCCGAGUAGUC